GAAUUCACUAGUGAUUCAGGCCUAACACAUGCAAGUCGAACGGCAGCACGGAGCUUGCUCUGGUGGCGAGUGGCGAACGGGUGAGUAAUAUAUCGGAACGUACCCUGGAGUGGGGGAUAACGUAGCGAAAGUUACGCUAAUACCGCAUACGAUCUACGGAUGAAAGUGGGGGAUCGCAAGACCUCAUGCUCGUGGAGCGGCCGAUAUCUGAUUAGCUAGUUGGUAGGGUAAAAGCCUACCAAGGCAUCGAUCAGUAGCUGGUCUGAGAGGACGACCAACCACACUGGAACUGAGACACGGUCCAGACUCCUUCGGGAGGCAGCAGUGGGGAAUUUUGGACAAUGGGCGAAAGCCUGAUCCAUCAAAGGGGCGUGAGUGAAGAAGGCCUUCGGG
rnacentral:rRNA from 1 species